rnacentral:rRNA from 1 species
UACGUAGGGGGCAAGCGUUUGUCCGGAUUUAUUGGGCGUAAAGCGCGCGUAGGCGGCAAGGUAUGUCGUGCGUGAAAUCUCCACGCUCAACGUGGAGGGGCCGUUCGAUACUGUCGUGACUCGAGUCCGGUAGGGGAGUGUGGAAUUCCCGGUGUAGCGGUGAAAUGCGCAGAGAUCGGGAGGAACACCCGUAGCGAAGGCGGCACUCCUGGGCCGGUACUGGACGCUGAGGCGCGAAAGCGUGGGGAGCGAACAGG